GUGCUCUCGUGAACACUUUUAGAAGGACCUAGACGAUCCUUCACCGAAACACGAGGCAGUGACGAGCUAACAGCCAUCGCCUGCCCUUCUGGCGUACCAUCCCUACUCCUCAUCAUCUUUCGAAGUAGGUUAAACGAUUGUGAUUGAAAAUUUUAAUGACACUAGAACUCAAACCCCUCCUUCUAGCGCCAAUGUUAACGCCAGGAUCUUCUACCACGCCCCAAUCACGUAAGACGUCCUGAUCCUGCACAGUAAACACGGUAAACACCAC
rnacentral:lncRNA from 1 species